AGCGAACGCUGGCGGCAGGCUUAACACAUGCAAGUCGAGCGCACGUAGCAAUACGUGAGCGGCAGACGGGAGAGUAACACGUGGGAACGUACCCUUCGGUUCGGAAUAACUCAGGGAAACUUGAGCUAAUACCGGAUACGUCCGAAAGGAGAAAGAUUUAUCGCCGAGGGAUCGGCCCGCGUCCGAUUAGCAUGUUGGUGGGUAAUGGCCCACCAAGGCGACGAUCGGUAGCUGGUCUGAGAGGAUGAUCAGCCUCACUGGGACUGAGGCACGGCCCAGACUCCUACGGGAGGCAGCAGUGGGGAAUAUUGGACAAUGGGCGCAAGCCUGAUCCAGCCAUGCCGCGUGGGUGAUGAAGGCCUUAGGGUUGUAAAGCCCUUUCGGCGGGGAAGAUAAUGACGGUACCCGCAGAAGAAGCCCCGGCUAACUUCGUGCCAGCAGCCGCGGUAAAAC
rnacentral:rRNA from 1 species